rnacentral:rRNA from 1 species
GUCCUUUAGGAUAAUAAUUUAAGGUCUAAUCUGCCCACUGAUUAAUUAAAUGGCCGCAGUAAUUUGACUGUGCAAAGGUAGCAUAAUCAUUAGUUUUUUAAUUGAAAGCUUGUAUGAAUGAUUGGACGAGAUAAAAUCUGUCUCUUAAUUAAAAUUAGAAUUUAAUUUUUAAGUUAAAAAGCUUAAAUUUUUAUGAAAGACGAGAAGACCCUAUAGAUCUUAAUUUAUAUAUGUUAUAAUUUUUAUAAAGAUUAUUUUAUUAUUUAUAAUUUUAUAAAUUUUAUUGGGGUAAUAAAAAGAUUAGAGUAAUUCUUUUUUAAUUUUUACAAUUAUUAUUGAUUAUAAGAUCCUCUAUUAGUGAUUAAAAGAUUAAGUUACCUUAGGGAUAACAGCGUAAUUUUUUUAAAGAGUUCAUAUCGAUAAAAAAGAUUGCGACCUCGAUGUUGGAUUAAAAGUAAUUUUAGGUGCAGAAGUCUGAAGUUUUGGUCUGUUCGACCAUUAAAUUUUU